GCUGCUCUCUGCUGGACUGGGGAGUCCACACUGUACACUGGAAACUCUCAGGCUGACUGGCUGUCAUCUGUCAGAGAGAUGCUGUGAAGCUCUGGCCUCAGUUCUCAGCUCUAACUCCUCUAGUCUGAGAGAGUUGGACCUGAGUAACAACGAUCUGAAGGAUUCAGGAAUGAAGCUGCUCUCUGCUGGACUGGGGAGUCCACACUGUACACUGGAAACGCUCAGCUUGUCUGGCUGCGUGGUCACACA